rnacentral:rRNA from 1 species
AUUGAACGCUGGCGGAAUGCUUUACACAUGCAAGUCGAACGGCAGCACGGGGGCAACCCUGGUGGCGAGUGGCGAACGGGUGAGUAAUACAUCGGAACGUGCCCGGUCGUGGGGGAUAACGUAGCGAAAGUUACGCUAAUACCGCAUACGAUCUGAGGAUGAAAGCGGGGGACCUUCGGGCCUCGCGCGAUCGGAGCGGCCGAUGUCAGAUUAGGUAGUUGGUGGGGUAAAGGCCUACCAAGCCGACGAUCUGUAGCUGGUCUGAGAGGACGACCAGCCACACUGGGACUGAGACACGGACCAGACUCCUACGGGAGGCAGCAGUGGGGAAUUUUGGACAAUGGGCGCAAGCCUGAUCCAGCCAUUCCGCGUGCAGGACGAAGGCCUUCGGGUUGUAAACUGCUUUUGUAUGGAACGAAAAGGCUCUGGCUAAUACCUGGGGCUCAUGACGGUACCGUAAGAAUAAGCACCGGCUAACUACGUG